UGAUCAGUGCUGGAGACUGAAUUCUCCUGUUAUUCCAUAGGAGAGGUUCAGCACAGGAGGUGAUACUGGGAGCUCUCCUCCCUACAUUGCCCCUCAGCCAUCUGCCUCCAUCCCUGAUCUGGAGGGGCCACUUCUGCAGAUGGCAAGAGAGUUCAGUCUCCAUGGCCGCUCUGCUGAGAUGGCC
rnacentral:sRNA from 1 species